rnacentral:rRNA from 1 species
UACGUAGGGGGCAAGCGUUUGUCCGGAUUUAUUGGGCGUAAAGAGCGUGUAGGCGGUUUGGUAGGUCCGUUGUGAAACUCGAGGCUCAACCUCGAGACGCCGGCGGAAACCAUCAGGCUAGAGUCCGGAAGAGGAGAGUGGAAUUCCUGGUGUAGCGGUGAAAUGCGCAGAUAUCAGGAAGAACACCCGUGGCUAAGGCGGCUCUCUAGUACGGUACUGACGCUGAGACGCGAAAGCGUGGGGAGCGAACAGG